rnacentral:rRNA from 1 species
UACGUAGGCAGCGAGCGUUGUUCGGAAUUACUGGGCGUAAAGAGUGUGUAGGCGGUGCUCUAAGUUCGGUGUGAAAUCUCCUGGCUUAACUGGGAGGGUGCGCCGGAAACUGGGGUGCUCGAGCGUGGGAGAGGAAAGCGGAAUUCCUGGUGUAGCGGUGAAAUGCGCAGAUAUCGGGAGGAACACCGGUGGCGAAGGCGGUUCUCUGGGCCUGUACUGACGCUGAGGAGCGAAAGCGUGGGGAGCGAACAGG